GGCGAUAUAGCCAAGCGGUAAGGCACGAGUCUGCAAAACUCUGAUCCCCGGUUCGAUUCCGGGUGUCGCCU
rnacentral:tRNA from 1 species